GACGAACGCUGGCGGCGUGCUUAACACAUGCAAGUCGAACGGAAAGGCCCUGCUUUUGUGGGGUGCUCGAGUGGCGAACGGGUGAGUAACACGUGAGUAACCUGCCCCUGACUUUGGGAUAACUUCAGGAAACUGGGGCUAAUACCGGAUAGGAGCUCCUGCUGCAUGGUGGGGGUUGGAAAGUUUCGGCGGUUGGGGAUGGACUCGCGGCUUAUCCGCUUGUUGGUGGGGUAGUGGCUUACCAAGGCUUUGACGGGUAGCCGGCCUGAGAGGGUGACCGGCCACAUUGGGACUGAGAGACGGCCCAGACUCCUACGUGAGGCAGCAGGGGGGAGUAUUGCACAAUGGGCGGAAGCCUGAUGCAGCAACGCCGCGUGCGGGAUGACGGCCUUCGGGUUGUAAACCGCUUUCGCCUGUGACGAAGCGUGAGUGACGGUAAUGGGUAAAGAAGCACCGGCUAACUACGUG
rnacentral:rRNA from 1 species